GACGAACGCUGGCGGCGUGCUUAACACAUGCAAGUCGAACGGAAAGGCCCUGCUUUUGUGGGGUGCUCGAGUGGCGAACGGGUGAGUAACACGUGAGUAACCUGCCCUUGACUUUGGGAUAACUUCAGGAAACUGGGGCUAAUACCGGAUAGGAGCUCCUGCUGCAUGGUGGGGGUUGGAAAGUUUCGGCGGUUGGGGAUGGACUCGCGGCUUAUCAGCUUGUUGGUGGGGUAGUGGCUUACCAAGGCUUUGACGGGUAGCCGGCCUGAGAGGGUGACCGGCCACAUGGGGACUGAGAUACGGCCCAGACUCCUACGGGAGGCAGCAGUGGGGAAUAGUGCACAAUGGGCGGAAGCCUGAUGCAGCAACGCCGCGUGCGGGAUGACGGCCUUCGGGGUGUAAACCGCUUUCGCCUGUGACGAAGCGUGAGUGACGGUAAUGGGUAAAGAAGCACCGGCUAACUACG
rnacentral:rRNA from 1 species